AUUGAACGCUGGCGGCAGGCCUAACACAUGCAAGUCGAACGAGCGGCGGACGGGUGAGUAAUGUCUGGGAAACUGCCUGAUGGAGGGGGAUAACUACUGGAAACGGUAGCUAAUACCGCAUACUAUCAGAUGAGCCCAGAUGGGAUUAGCUGGUUGGUGGGGUAACGGCUCACCUAGGCGACGAUCCCUAGCUGGUCUGAGAGGAUGACCAGCAACACUGGAACUGAGACACGGCCCAGACUCCUACGGGAGGCAGCAGUGGGGAAUAUUGCACAAUGGGCGCAAGCCUGAUGCAGCCAUGCCGCGUGUAUGAAGAAGGCCUUAGGGUUGUAAAGUACUUUCAGCGGGGAGGCGUUACCCGCAGAAGAAGCACCGGCUAACUCCGUGCCAGCAGCCGCGGUAAUUC
rnacentral:rRNA from 1 species